AUAAUACAAAUUUUUAAUGGUAAAAAUAAUUAUUAUUAAAUCAUUCUCUCUCUAGAUAAUAAUUUAUCUUUUCUCUCUCUCAUCAAUUCACCUACUUGCUUCCAACACUCUUUAUAAUUUCUCUCUAAUAUCGCUUGAUCACCAAAUUCGUUUGAUCCUGUCCAUUGCCAAAUCCUUAUCGGUGCCCAAGCAGUAGUCGCACACCUAUUCGCCUCUAUCCUGACAACCUUCAUCAUUGAUCUUGGUGAUGAGGGAGACAAUGAUGGUGGUAUAUUUGAUGGAAAUGGCAUUGGGACCAAAGGGUACAUUGACAUUGAUUUCAUUUCUAUCUUUCAAUUUCACGUCCAAUCUAAACGAAAUAUAAAAUAAAAUAGGCUAUAAAAUAAUUGAUUAAAAACUAUUAAAUGUCUAUAUUUUUCAAUUCAAAUAUACACUUAUCAAAUUCCCAACAAAAAGAAAUAUAGUUAUAACUAUCGACUUACUAACAAUAUAUUAAUAUCAUAUAUAUUUUCUUGUGGGAUCCACUAUCAUCUCUCUUAAUAUUUCUAUUUAUAAAUCAUUUAUAGAUUUUUCAAACUGAUAGUAAGAUCGUGUUUCCAACAUAUAUUUUGUAUAUAUACUUUUGUACGGAUUACAUUCGUAAUACAACAGCCUGGAAGCCUCGAGCCAGCAAUAGUUUUAUUUUCUUUUAUCUCUGAUCUGACUAAUUGCCAAUUAUUUAGGUAGAUAAUUAUAACUAUAAUAUAAAUUUAGGCAUUACUUCGUCAAAGUCAAUUGAUAAACAAAUUCAGACACAAGAAACAAAACUCUACAGCUAAUUAACAUUUGAAAGAUAUGAAAGAUGCACAUCCAGACUAUACAUACGACUUUCUGCAUAGUUCUUCAUGUAUCUUCAAAUUGAGCUUGGAAAUUUUAUUUACCUGCUUCCAAUUGAGUAUAUGUUUCCCAGCCACAAUUUUAGAGAAUAAAUUUCAGCGACAGAUUGGUUAGCGAAUCAAGGGGUUAAAGAGGGCAACCAACAUCCACGGCCGGCCCUGAUAUUUUGGGGGCCUUAUGUCAAUUUCAAAUUGGGGCCAUAUAUUUUGAAUCUCCUAGUAUAGAGUUUUAGCCCAUGUUUGAUGAAGAUUAAACCCUUGUUUGAACCCAAUUUUUUCAUCAAAAUACAUUCUUUAAUACAUUUCUCAAUAAAAUAAUAUUACAUGUACCUUCAAAAUUUUUCCUUAUUUUUUAACCACAUUCUCCAUCAUAACACUAUCUCAAAAUACAUUUUUUUGAAAAAAAUGGGGCUCAAACAACCCCUAAAAUCAAUUUUUUAGUAGAUUUUGAUAGAAGUGGAUAAAAUAUAUGGAUUUAAAAUUGUGGAACCCAUAAAAUAUAUGGUUAAAAUUAAUUAUUGAUUUUCACUUAGAUUAAAAUCUAGAUUUUAAUCGAUACCAAAUAGUGACUUAAUAUAAUUAUAAAGAAUCUAACACAGACAAAUAAGCCUCAAAAUUUGAAGAGAAAAUUAACAAAAUGUCAAAUUUCAACCAGUAAUACAAAUUACAAGUAAAGUUUGGCAAACAUAAUUACAAUGCAAUGGCAAAGGAGUAUAUUUGUUUGUAUGAUUAUUUUCUCACUACAAAUAUUUCAAAUAAGAUUGAAUAUACAUUUGAGGGAUUUUUGUAUAAAAUUAGAGAAUGUGACUACAAAAGAUAGUGUAACAAAAUAAUGAAAUGAUGAUCAAAUACAAACGAUCUUCUAAUUUUAUAUUAAUUUAUAAGAAAUUAACUUUAAAAUAAGAAGUAUCUAUAUGAAUAAGAACAAAGAAUUAUUAAAUUCAAAUUAUUUUCAGCAAACAUCUAAAAUUAUUAUUAUCAUGAGAUUAAAACAAAACAAUAUAAUAACAAUAUAUGUACUCUGUAGUAUAUGUUUCGAAGAUAAAGAGAAAGAAAGAAACCUGUAAGAUUGUAACAAUGGUAGUUAGAUCAAACCAAACUGCAUU
rnacentral:lncRNA from 1 species